rnacentral:tRNA from 1 species
UGGGGCAUCGUCCAAUGGUAGGACUCUGGUUUUUGGUGCCAGCUAUAUAGGUUCGAAUCCUGUUGCCCCAGCCA